GUCAAUAAGUUUUUUUACUCUGAGUUUCGCUAUCUGCAGCCGGAUUCCAGCUUUCGCUAUCGCUAAAACUCUACAAAUCUCCAAAAAUCCAAACGCUAAAAAUUAUCCGAACUUUAGGCGAUUUUUCUUAAAUGCGAUUCCGGCUGGUUCAUCUCUAAAAAUCUCCAAGGAAAAUUGUAAUACUUUUAUCCGCCGCAGGUGUCGCUGGUGUAGUUGAAGAGAAAUAUCAAAUUUUGUUUACUUUUAUGGCCCACGGGAAUUUAGUUAAAAUUUGUAAUUUUGAUAUAAUUUGCUCUAAAUCAGAAAUUAAAAGCCGCAAUCUCGGUCUAUUUCAUUAUAAUAUUAAGAAAGAGUGUUGUGAUAAUAAAUACGUGGUCAAGAUGAGUGAGUUGCGAAGAUAUUUGUUUCGUAUCUCAGUGAACUCUCAGCGAGCUUUAAGGAACCGUUUGCGAAGCAAAAGAAAAUUGUUGCGGGAAUCCAUGGAUCCCUUCUGUAUUUCAGAGGAACGGUUCACAGAAAUUAUUCGACUUCCAAAAGAAAUAUGUAGAAAUGUUUUUAAUUAAAUCCGCCCCUUUACGUUGCAAAGGACAUCAAGUUGUGGAUUGUCGAAAGUUUUAAGGUUCCUUGUAGCAUUGCGAUUUUUCGCUCAAUUAUGAAGCUAUCAACGUUCGGUGGGACAAGACUUCUUACUUAAUGUAUCCCAAAGCAGCGUCAGUAGAUGCAUUAGAGAAAUUGCCAGUAUCAUGGACAAAUACUUGUUAACUAGAUACAUUAAGUUUCCAUCAACAGUUGAAGAAAAACAAGCUAUUUUAUCAAGAGUUCAGAUUCCCUGGGAUCAUAGGAGACAUUAAG